rnacentral:lncRNA from 1 species
AUGUAUAGAGUCUAGAAAUACAUGUCAUUAUAUAAUCUAUGAUAGUGUGAUCUAUUUACCAUCCAAGUCCUUGAGAUUAAAUUUCAUAGCUAUUUGACACCUUUAACUAUUAGAAAUCUAUUUUUGUACUUUUUACGAGUUAGUCAUUUUCAUGCAAUUAAGCAUGAAAACAUCAAAAUUUAUUAACAAAAUUUUACUACAAGC